CUGCUGGGGGUGCCUGACAGGCUGAGAUCAAACCCUUCGAACUUGGACAAGUUAGUACUUGCGAAAGGAAGCGUUUU
rnacentral:ncRNA from 1 species